rnacentral:misc_RNA from 1 species
UACAAUAAAGGAAUGGAAAAAAGAUAACUAAAGGCAUAGCAUCCUUCCUCCUCAUUCAAUCAAAACCAAUUAAUGCAUUAAAUUUUGUGCCAAAGAAAAAAGCACCCUUUAUAACAUAAAACUUAUACAAUCAUGUAUGAAUGUGACAAAAGAAAUUUAACUGCUUUAGCAUAUUAACAGACUAAAUCAGUCUUACGUUUAAAUGAACCCAGCAGUAGUGCUUUUGGUUGUGUCAUAUGCUAACCCUUUGAUGAGAUGUAACAAACAAGCUGUUUUUGUUGGAUUGAAGUAUUCUGGCUUAAAGCUCUAUGAAAAAACACUCUAGGAACUAAUGCCAAAAUAGGUUUUCCAUCAAUUAUCAAACCCUUGACUCUGGGUUGGAGAAGAACCAAAGGAUAAUGGCACAGAGAACGAGAACAAGAGGGAUGAGAUGGAUUGCGUUCUCUGCA